AUGGUGGAUGACUGUCUUCCUGUGCAUUGUGCACCUCCCAUCAGCUCUCAGAUCAUAAGGGGCCCUUCCAAGUAUGUGCCCUCCCUGGGCUGCCGGGUCCCCCGUGCGCUCUCUCCGCAGGAAGGAUGGUGUCUCACCUGCACGGCAAUGGGAACACCUGUGGUUUGGUCCCGGUGUCCCGGCGUCCUGGAAGGGGUCUACCAUGCUCUCCAUAAGCUACCCAUGGGCUGGGGCUUAUGGAACGCCGUCUCCAUAGGGUCUGAAGGAGGGUCUCUGCUCCACCACUCAGGUUACUACGGCAACACCGACUGGGACUACGGCCGCUACCCGCCCAGACCCAAGCCGCCCGCAGCAGGUGGUGGCAGUUACUACCCCAGCCACGACGGGUCCGGAAACACGCACGGAGGAGGGCGCUCUAGACCCAACUCUUACGGAAAUAAUUACGGCGGAGACGGAUACUCGACCUACGGGAACGCACAGGGUAACACAGUAGCGAAAAUCGUGUCUCCCAUCGUGUCCGUGCUGGUGGUCACGCUGGUGGGAGCGGCGGCUGGUUAUUGCCAACGGAACAGAAGGAGAAACUGUUUCAGGGCAAAUGAACCAGUGCACGUGUGAGGGUUCGAGAUUCAGCGGUCGCCAUGGGAGAAGCUCGGUGUGGACCGGAACCCCUUCGGCCGCUCCUGGGACACCUCCUUCCGUUGCCGACGUCUCCCGCCACCCCGAAGUGUUUUUUCUGUUUGGCACAGAUGACCCGUCAAUGAAAGCAUCCCCCAUCCACUGCACGGGGUGCGUGCAUGAGGAUAACUGGGCUCCUCCUUGCGCCCUGCGGAGAUGAUUGCUUCAUCUGUUGGUUCGAUCGUGGAUGUGGAUAGAUGCCGAGUGCAUCUUGGGUUCCCAGCACUACGUCAUGGUUUGGGACGUGCACGUGGGUGACCCUUGGGGGUGUUGCUCCAAAGCCCAGUGGGGGUCCCAGGGCACGGGGUCGUGGGCAGGGGUGCUGUCUUCUUUGGGGGUAUCGGGAAUGCCACUGGGGGUGGGGGGUUUGCAGCAAGCUCUGGGGAGAAGCUUGACCCGGGCUGAGGGUUCAUCAGGGAGCCAGUGCCCACCAGUCUGGCGGAUACAGGAAUUCCUGCCACUCGGGGUCGGCUUUGUCCAGCCCUCCCUCCCCUGUCCCCAACUUGCACACAAGGAAGCUGGGUUUUGGGAUUGUGCAUGCACAGUCAUUCGAGUGCAAGCCAUCGUGGGGGUGGGGGUGGGGGUGGGGGGGAGGCAGCCUGGGGAUGCUUUUUCCUUUCCCCGUGAAAUCUUACGGUUUCGGGAUUUCUGGGAAACUAGGGGACGGCGGUCGUGAUGUGUGUCUCUUGACUGUUCUCGUAUUAGUUUCCAUCUGAUGCUCUGUAGGUCUCUGAGCAACGCCAUCCUUUUUCUUAGUUGAUGCUUUGUUUUGGACCCGUAGUAGAGACCCUUAAAUGCUCCCGCAUCUGAAAUGCAUACUACCUAUUUGCUUCUAUGUUCAUAUCACUUUAGGGGCAAGGAAAAAGGACCCUUUGGGUUUAUUGGUAUAGUUUCAUUCGGCUUAGGUACCUGCUUAUAGAACUUUUGCACUUCGCCCCAAAUAUCAGAAUAGAGACAAUUAUUGCCAUGUGGGACUCACGGAGAGGACCUGGAGAAGUCCUAAAUAUGCAUGCUUCGUGCUCACCGUGAUGGAUGGGGAGCUCUGUCUCCAAAUAGGGGACCCCGAACGCAGAAAGCCCUAGAAAGAGCUUCCCAAAUGCAAAAAGGAGGUCGCAGCUGAGACUCUCCAUGGGGCGUCUCACGUCAGGGAUCCAUGUACAACUCGAGCCAUUCCAAGACGGCGGCCGUAGUUCCUGUUGGGACGGGAAUGUCCUAGCACACGUCUCAGCUGUUGGCCCUGGGGGACGAAGCCGCAAGGUGGUCGCACGUUUUCUGCGUGUGAGUUUCCGCGUGAGUGUCUUUUGACUCUGGUUAGAAGGGCGUGUGAAUGUGUGUGUGCACGUGUGCGUGGACACAUGCAUUUGCACCUUUGCAUACAGACCUGGACGCCACGGAAGCAUGUAUACAGACGUACGUCCAUCUGGGUUUUUUUUUUCUUUUUCUGUAACUGUCCUACAUCAAUUUCCAUCAUUGCCAAUACAUGUAAAAGAGAAAAGAAUACCCCGCUUGAGUUGCUGUGUUCUUGGUUUCUGUCGUUUCCACCUAAAACGAGGAGGCAUCAUGGGAUAGGUCUCUGACUGACGAAGCUAUCUAUGCAGCUUUGGGGAGCACAUGGGCACCUGUCACGUUCCCGAGGAAGACGUGUUGUCAUUGGCACCAUUUGGAAUAUGGUGGAUGGGGGACACUGAAGCGUAGUUACAGAAUUGGGGAUGAAAAUCACCCAAGUGUGGUACGCCUGGGUGGCUCAGGUGGUUAAGUGUCUGCCUUCGGCUCAGGUCAUGAUUCCAGGGUCCUGGGAUCGAGUCCUGCAUCGGGCUCCCUGCUCAGCAGGGAACCUGCUUCUCCCUUUGCCUCCCCCAGCUUGUGCAUUCUCUCUCAAAUAAAUAAAUGAAAUCUGAAAGAAAGAAAAAGAAAGAAAGGGAAAGAAAGAAAAAGAAAGAAAGAAAGGGAAAGGAAGGGAGGGAGGGUGGGAGGGAGGAAAGGAGGAAGGGAAAGGGAAAGCAAAUCAUCCAAGCGACAAGCGGAAACUAGUUAAUGUUCAACCUAGUUAGAAUAAGAAUAUUUGAAUCAUGGGCACUGGGAUACACAGCAGAAGCAGUUGAUCGAUUGAUUGAUUGAUUGACUGACUGAUGACUGAAGUAUGGUUGACCCAGAGUGUUACAUUAGUUUCAGGUGGAGAGCAUAGGUUCUUACGGACUCACCCAGGGCCACCAGGAAGGCAUGCUUUCCUGCUACAAAAAGGAAAAAUAUUGCAAUUAGCUGCACUCUGCGUGCCCGUGAAGGAAAGAAAGGAUGGUGUUGACCGUAUUGUGUAAAAAGCAACACUCCUCUCCUCUUCCUGGGAGCUCGAGUGUGCCUGGGGGGGUCCAGGCCUGGAAGAACAUGUUCACGUUGCAAUGGAGAGAAACAUGAAAUCAAAUUUUAGGCGGGUCGAGGGGAUGGUGACCCCCACGGGAGCUAUAGAUUUAUUUCCAUUUUCCUGCACGCGCUUGGGAAGAACUCCUGCUCCCUUCUCCAACCCAGUAUCCAUGGCGAGAUGCAACGCUUUGCAGUAGCAGGGGGGAGGCAUGGUCACGCCGAUUGCUGUGUGACUUAUAAAGUGGGGAGAAGAAAUCACACACACACACACACACACACACACACACACACACAGACCCAAGUUAAUAUGUUACAGUUGUAGCUCGAAGCUGCUAGAAUGUGACCUUAUUUGGAAGUAACGUUUGCAGAGGUCAGGAGCUCAGGUCAUCCCGGAGGACGGUGGGCCCUAACCCCAUAGGACUGACGUCCGUGCGAGAGCGGAAUGUGGACACAGACACGCACACAGGGAGAAUAUCGUGCAUCGCUCAGAGCAGAGGGGCCACAAGCCGAGGACCCACCAGACACUGAGGGUGGGGCCCUAUAAUCUUCAGGGGGAGCACAUCCCAGCCCUGGCCAGAUCCCACGCAUCUUACCUCCAGAACUGAGAGAGAGAGAGAAUAAACGUCUGUCGUUGAAGCCCUGAGUCUGUAGGACUUGGCUACGGCAGCCCGAAGAAACUCAUCUCUACAUCACUACACGUUCAGUACAUGUGUUCCUAAUUUAGAAGAAAGGAUGGGGUACUCACUGAGCUCCUCUUGGGACGUAGCCGUGAGGCCGGUCAGGAUUCAUCUCCGGAUGCUGAGCCCAAGUCAUGAGUUCACAGGCUGCCUUCUGCAUUUUGAGCUGUGCAACCCAGCAAGUUAAACGACCUCUCUGGGCUUCAGUUACGUCAUCUGAAGAAUGAGUCUAAGAAUGGGCUCUGCUUCCCCCAAAUGGUGAAGGUCAAUGAGCUCAUGUGUCACAGGCGUUCCCACUCGGCCCUGGUAGGUAGCGAGGGCUGCAGGUGGGACGGAGGAAAAGAAACACGAACGAAGUUUUUUUCUUAAUGUAAAUAGAAUUAGGCUCAUUGCAAUAGAUAGGAUGUUUGUUAGAGUCAGGUGAGAAGUUGAGACCAUGAAAUCAAAACUGCAGACACUCACUAAAAGCACAGAGUGUUUGAGAAUGCAGGUUUCCCUCCCCCCAACCUAUUCUUUCUGUUUUCUGAAUCUAUAACCCUCCAGCUAGGUGCAAGGUUUCCCAGGUGAACUACACUUCCCAGCAACCUUUGCAGGUCAUUACGGUCAUGCGACAGCUCUGGCCAAUGGCAUGACACCUUGAUUUCUGGGGCUGCAGGACCCUCCUGUUUCUCCCAGACUAGCACCUGUCCUCAUGAGGACCAUCAGGAGUUUGGUUUGGGGGAGGGGCUGCCGUGUCACGACCCGGUUGUCCUGUUGGAGGGACCCUUCUCCCGUGGGUCCCCACACCCUACCAAUAAAAAGGGCACAAGCUUCCAGUGAUAAGACCAAAAAGUCCUGGGGUAUCAGGAUGGUCACUUAGUUAACUGUUCUGCACGGUGCAUGGGAAAGUCGCUGAGAGAGCGGAUAAUUGUGUGCCAGGAGGGAGGCGCUGGCUAACGUGAUGUUGGGAAUCACAUUGCAAUGUGGAAGUCUGUUGAAUCCUCAUGGUGCACACCUGGCACUUACAGAAGUUUCUAUGUCCAUUCUACAAAACACUGAAGCCGGAAAGCACACAAAAAACCAGGUCUCAUCUUCCCGCAAGCAGUUUUGCUUGGAGCGUGCGGGGGUCCCCAAGCCUAGAUCUGGCUUGUAGUGUCUUUGGAAAGAUGCUCCCCUUUCUUUGCAUAGCAAAUUCACUAUAAAUGCAAUAUUCCG
rnacentral:lncRNA from 1 species